GCGGGUGUGGUGAAACUGGCAGACACGAUAGACUUAGGAUCUAUUGCUCACGCGUGCAGGUUCGAGUCCUGUCACCCGCACCA
rnacentral:tRNA from 1 species